CACGUGAGAAUUGCCUUUGAGGGAUAACAAUUGGAAACGAAUGCUAAUACCCAUAUGCUUACUUAGUGAAAUGGAUUUUAUCCGCCGAAAGAGAAGCUCGCGGCUGAUUAGCUUGUUGGUAAGGUAAGAGCUUACCAAGGCGACGAUCAGUAUCUGGUUUGAGAGGACGAUCAGACACACUGGAACUGAGACACGGUCCAGACUCCUACGGGAGGCAGCAGUGGGGAAUUUUCCGCAAUGGGCGAAAGCCUGACGGAGCAAUACCGCGUGAGGGAAGACUGCCUAUGGGUUGUAAACCUCUUUUUUCAGGGAGGAAUUAAUGACGUGUACCUGAAGAAUAA
rnacentral:rRNA from 1 species